AUUUACAAAGACUUGGUUUCCAUUUUUUCCUUUUCUCAUAUUUAUUCCUUUCCCUUCUUUCUUUUCCGCAAACCCUCUUACUUCCCAUUCCCUUUCUGACCUUUUUUCCAUGGAAGAGAAAUUGUAGCUAUGCUCUACUGACGCUUCUGAUUGAGCUCAUAGAUGACACACCAAUUUAGUUGAAAAGUUCUAGAAGUGCAGUCACUGAGCCAACAAUGGGGUGAGUAUGAAACACCAAUUCUCUGGAUGUUGGACAGUCAGUAGCCAGUUUCUUUAAAGUCAUUCCUUGCAUAUACUCCUUCAGAACUGCCAAAGACCAGGAGACGUUUUUUUUAAAUAUCAAAAUCAUCAAACAGAAAGUCAAUAUAUCUCUUCAAGGUCACAGUAUAUCACAUGCAGUCAGUUUGACUCCAGCAAAUACAAUGACUCUUCUUAAAGGUUGAAAGUGCCUCACAGAUCUGGUACUACAUCUGGCGCAUUUUGGGUAUUCCUAGGAUAUUUUUCCUCCAACUCAGAGGUGCCAGCUCUUCAAUGAAAAACAGGACAAUGCCUGGGAGAUGUCCUCAGUCCCUUGACACCCUUCGUGCUGAAGAUUUAUCUCUCCUCACACUUGACCUAAAGAGACGACUCCCUUUGUCCAGUUCACCAAUAUAUCUCACAUUCAAGAGGUGCUGGACAGUUCAUUUUUCCCCAAGCAAGACAAACUCAAAACAAUCAGCCCCCCCCAAAUAUAAAGACCCGAUUAAAAAAUGGGCAUCCAAAAUGAACAGACAUUUCUCAGACAAAGAAGUAAAAGCAGCAAGUAAAUA
rnacentral:lncRNA from 1 species